rnacentral:rRNA from 1 species
AUGUUUUGGCUGACCACGGUGUACGGCCCCAUUGAUGAUAGUAGAAAGGACGAGUUCUUGUCAGGAAUAGCUAGGACGGUGCCGCCACCAAAUGACCCCUGGCUCAUCAACGACGAUUUCAACCUCAUAUACAAGGCUAGUGAUAAUAACAAUAGCAAUGUCAACCGUAGAAUGUUGGGCAAAUUCCGUGCGGCGAUCGACGCCGCAGGACUCCGGGAGAUUAGAUGCAAAAACCGACGUUUCACGUGGAGCAACGAGCACGAGGAUCCAACCCUUGUCAGCAUCGACAAGUUCUUUUGCAGCAAUGCUUGGGACACCCUCUUCCCAACCUUCCUCCUGCAUGCCGCUUCAACAUCCUGCUUCGAUCACUGCCCCCUUCUGCUCACUGCAGCAACCGCACCACGCCGAUCGGCUCAUUUCCGGUUUGAAUCCUUCUGGCCACGAUUCCCCUGA